rnacentral:rRNA from 1 species
CACGUAGGGUGCGAGCGUUGUCCGGAAUUAUUGGGCGUAAAGAGCUCGUAGGCGGUGUGUCGCGUCGGCCGUGAAAACCUGCAGCUUAACUGUGGCGUGCGGUCGAUACGGGCAUCACUGGAGUUCGGCAGGGGAGACUGGAAUUCCUGGUGUAGCGGUGAAAUGCGCAGAUAUCAGGAGGAACACCGGUGGCGAAGGCGGAUCUCUGGGCCUUACCUGACGCUCGAGGUGACG